rnacentral:rRNA from 2 species
UCAAGUGAAGAAGCGCAUACGGUGGAUGCCUUGGCAGUCAGAGGCGAUGAAAGACGUGGUAGCCUGCGAAAAGCUUCGGGGAGUCGGCAAACAGACUGUGAUCCGGAGGUAUCUGAAUGGGGGAACCCAGCCAUCAUAAGAUGGUUAUCUUGUACUGAAUACAUAGGUGCAAGAGGCGAACCAGGGGAACUGAAACAUCUAAGUACCCUGAGGAAAAGAAAUCAACCGAGAUUCCCUUAGUAGUGGCGAGCGAACGGGGACCAGCCCUUAAGUUGUAUUGAGAUUAGCGGAACGUUCUGGAAAGGACGGCCAUAGUGGGUGAUAGCCCUGUACGCGAAAAUCCCUUUGCAAUGAAAUCGAGUAGGACGGGGCACGAGAAACCUUGUCUGAAUAUGGGGGGACCAUCCUCCAAGGCUAAAUACUACUGACUGACCGAUAGUGAACCAGUACCGUGAGGGAAAGGCGAAAAGAACCGCGGAGAGCGGAGUGAAAUAGAUCCUGAAACCGUAUGCGUACAAGCAGUGGGAGCCCACUUUGUUGGGUGACUGCGUACCUUUUGUAUAAUGGGUCAGCGACUUAUUUUCAGUGGCGAGCUUAACCGAAUAGGGGAGGCGUAGCGAAAGCGAGUCUUAAUAGGGCGUCUAGUCGCUGGGAAUAGACCCGAAACCGGGCGAUCUAUCCAUGGGCAGGUUGAAGGUUGGGUAACACUAACUGGAGGACCGAACCGACUACCGUUGAAAAGUUAGCGGAUGACCUGUGGAUCGGAGUGAAAGGCUAAUCAAGCUCGGAGAUAGCUGGUUCUCCUCGAAAGCUAUUUAGGUAGCGCCUCAUGUAUCACUGUAGGGGGUAGAGCACUGUUUCGGCUAGGGGGUCAUCCCGACUUACCAAACCGAUGCAAACUCCGAAUACCUACAAGUGCCGAGCAUGGGAGACACACGGCGGGUGCUAACGUCCGUCGUGAAAAGGGAAACAACCCAGACCGUCAGCUAAGGUCCCAAAGUCAUGGUUAAGUGGGAAACGAUGUGGGAAGGCUUAGACAGCUAGGAGGUUGGCUUAGAAGCAGCCACCCUUUAAAGAAAGCGUAAUAGCUCACUAGUCGAGUCGGCCUGCGCGGAAGAUGUAACGGGGCUCAAACCAUGCACCGAAGCUACGGGUAUCAUCUUUUGAUGAUGCGGUAGAGGAGCGUUCUGUAAGCCUGUGAAGGUGAGUUGAGAAGCUUGCUGGAGGUAUCAGAAGUGCGAAUGCUGACAUGAGUAACGACAAUGGGUGUGAAAAACACCCACGCCGAAAGACCAAGGUUUCCUGCGCAACGUUAAUCGACGCAGGGUUAGUCGGUCCCUAAGGCGAGGCUGAAAAGCGUAGUCGAUGGAAAACAGGUUAAUAUUCCUGUACUUCUGGUUAUUGCGAUGGAGGGACGGAGAAGGCUAGGCCAGCCUGGCGUUGGUUGUCCAGGUUUAAGGUGGUAGGCUGAGAUCUUAGGUAAAUCCGGGAUCUUAAGGCCGAGAGCUGAUGACGAGUGUUCUUUUAGAACACGAAGUGGUUGAUGCCAUGCUUCCAAGAAAAGCUUCUAAGCUUCAGGUAACCAGGAACCGUACCCCAAACCGACACAGGUGGUUGGGUAGAGAAUACCAAGGCGCUUGAGAGAACUCGGGUGAAGGAACUAGGCAAAAUGGCACCGUAACUUCGGGAGAAGGUGCGCCGGUGAGGGUGAAGCAUUUACUGCGUAAGCCCAUGCCGGUCGAAGAUACCAGGCCGCUGCGACUGUUUAUUAAAAACACAGCACUCUGCAAACACGAAAGUGGACGUAUAGGGUGUGACGCCUGCCCGGUGCCGGAAGGUUAAUUGAUGGGGUUAGCGCAAGCGAAGCUCUUGAUCGAAGCCCCGGUAAACGGCGGCCGUAACUAUAACGGUCCUAAGGUAGCGAAAUUCCUUGUCGGGUAAGUUCCGACCUGCACGAAUGGCGUAACGAUGGCGGCGCUGUCUCCACCCGAGACUCAGUGAAAUUGAAAUCGCUGUGAAGAUGCAGUGUAUCCGCGGCUAGACGGAAAGACCCCGUGAACCUUUACUAUAGCUUUGCACUGGACUUUGAAUUUGCUUGUGUAGGAUAGGUGGGAGGCUUUGAAGCGUGGACGCCAGUCUGCGUGGAGCCAACCUUGAAAUACCACCCUGGCAACUUUGAGGUUCUAACUCAGGUCCGUUAUCCGGAUCGAGGACAGUGUAUGGUGGGUAGUUUGACUGGGGCGGUCUCCUCCUAAAGAGUAACGGAGGAGUACGAAGGUGCGCUCAGACCGGUCGGAAAUCGGUCGUAGAGUAUAAAGGCAAAAGCGCGCUUGACUGCGAGACAGACACGUCGAGCAGGUACGAAAGUAGGUCUUAGUGAUCCGGUGGUUCUGUAUGGAAGGGCCAUCGCUCAACGGAUAAAAGGUACUCCGGGGAUAACAGGCUGAUACCGCCCAAGAGUUCAUAUCGACGGCGGUGUUUGGCACCUCGAUGUCGGCUCAUCACAUCCUGGGGCUGAAGCCGGUCCCAAGGGUAUGGCUGUUCGCCAUUUAAAGUGGUACGCGAGCUGGGUUUAGAACGUCGUGAGACAGUUCGGUCCCUAUCUGCCGUGGACGUUUGAGAUUUGAGAGGGGCUGCUCCUAGUACGAGAGGACCGGAGUGGACGAACCUCUGGUGUUCCGGUUGUCACGCCAGUGGCAUUGCCGGGUAGCUAUGUUCGGAAAAGAUAACCGCUGAAAGCAUCUAAGCGGGAAACUUGCCUCAAGAUGAGAUCUCACUGGAACCUUGAGUUCCCUAAAGGGCCGUCGAAGACUACGACGUUGAUAGGUUGGGUGUGUAAGCGCUGUGAGGCGUUGAGCUAACCAAUACUAAUUGCCCGUGAGGCUUGACCAU